rnacentral:lncRNA from 1 species
CUUAACUUUAGUUUGGCGUAUCAUAAUUACACAUAUAAAAUGGUGAAAGUGCUGAUUUCCUGUAAAAUUUAAGUGUGCGUUAACUAGUCGCUUUGUUUGUUAAACGUUUGUGUGUUUCCGUAAUAUGAUUUAACAUGGAAUUCUUUGUUCUGUUGUUGAAUUGACAAACAAAAAAGUAAGUUAUUUAGAUAUAUUUUGGAUAAAUAAUGUUGGUAUCUUUAUGUUUUGCUGCUUAAUUACAAUAGAUGUAAGAAGAUGUGGUAUGAGUGCCAAUGAGACAACUCUCCUUCAAAGUCACAACUUGUAAAAGAAAACCAUUAUAGGUCAAUAUACGAUCUUCAACACGGAGGCUUGGCUCACACUUAACAAUGAGCUAUAAAAGGCCUCAAAAAUGAUUAGUGUAAAACCAUACAAGCGGGAAACCAACGGUCUUAUCUAUAUAAAUAACGAGAAAAACUGGUACAUCUAAAAUGUUUAACACAUUAACCUCUCAGACGUAUGUCUAUAUUACAUUUGAUUUUGGUAUUGUGAAGUUUUAUACAAAUUGUAGUAGAAAUACAGUCUGCAUGUAUAAAAAUAAGAAGAUGUGGUUUGCUUGCUAAUGAAACAACUCUUUACCAGAGACCAAGUUACAUAUAAGUUAGGUUCGGCCUCCAACAAUGAGCAAAAGCUAUACCGCACAAUAAGCUAUUAAAGACACCGAAAUGAAUAAUGUAAAACAAUUCAAACGGGAAAACGAGGAAAAUAACGACCUGAUUUAUGUACAAAACAAUGAAUGAAAACAAAUAUGGUAUACGGCCACAAACGACAACCACUGAAUUUCAAACUCCUGACUUGGGACAGGCACAUACAGAAUGUGGCGGGGUAAAACUAGUUUGUUAAAUUGGGACAGUGAUAUUCCAGUACAGCGUAAGAACUGUAAAACUGAGUUGAAAAGGGCUUGACUCAUUAGAUUGAUAUGAAUCAGAAAAAAAAAUCUAACAAAAACACAGAGUGGACAUGGCAGGGUAUAUAAUCCCCACAAUAAAACACAGAGUGGACAUGGCAGGGUAUAUAAUCCCCACAAUAAAACACAGAGUGGACAUGGCAGGGUAUAUAAUCCCCACAAAAACACAGAGUGGACAUGGCAGGGUAUAUAAUCCCCACAAAAACAGAGUGGACAUGGCAGGGUAUAUAAUCCCAACAAAAAACACAGAGUGGACAUGGCAGGGUAUAUAAUCCCCACAAAAACAGAGUGGACAUGGCAGGGUAUAUAAUCGCAACAAAAACACAGAGUGGACAUGGCAGGGUAUAUAAUCCCCACAAAAACAGAGUGGACAUGGCAGGGUAUAUAAUCCCCAUAAAAACACAGAGUGGACAUGGCAGGGGUAAUAAUCCCCACAAAAACAGAGUGGACAUGGCAGGGUAUAUAAUCCCAACAAAAAACACAGAGUGGACAUGGCAGGGUAUAUAAUCCCCACAAAAACACAGAGUGGACAUGGCAAGGUAUAUAAUCCCCACAAUAAAAAUACAGAGUGGACAUGGAAGGUAUAUAAUCCCACAAAAAACACAGAGUGGACAUGGCAAGGUAUAUAAUCCCACAAAACACAGAGUGGACAUGGCAAGGUAUAUACUCCAAUAAAAACACAGAGUGGACAUGGCAGGGUAUAUAAUCCCCACAAAACAGAGUGGACAUGGCAGGAAUAUAAUCCCAACAAUAACACAGAGUGGACAUGGCAGGGUAUAUAAUCCCCACAAAAACACAGAGUGGACAUGGCAGGGUAUAUAAUCUAACAAAACACAGAGUGGACAUGGCAGGGUAUAUAAUCUAACAAAACACAGAGUGGACAUGGCAGGGUAUAUAAUCCCAAACAAACACACAGGGACAUGGCAGGGUAUAUAAUCCCCAUAAAAAACACAGAGUGACAUGGCAGGGUAUAUAAUCCCAACAAAAACAGAGUGGACAUGGCAGGGUAUAUAAAAUCCCAAAAAACACAGAGUGGACAUGGCAGGUAUAUAAUCCCCACAAAACAGGUGACUGGCAAGGUAAUAUAAUCCCACAAAAACACAGAGUGGACAUGCAGGGUAUAUAAUCCCACAAAAACACAGAGUGGACAUGGCAAGGUAUAUAUCCCCACAAUAAAAACAGAGUGGACAUGGCAGGUAUAUUAAUCCCCACAAAAACACAGAGUGGACAUGGCAAUAUUAUAUCCCCACAAUAAAAACACAGAGUGGACAUGGCAGGGUAUAUAAUCCCCACAAAAACACAGAGUGGACAUGGCAGGGAAUAUAAUCCCAACAAUAACACAGAGUGGACAUGGCAGGGUAUAUAAUCCCCACAAAAACACAGAGUGGACAUGGCAGGGUAUAUAAUCUAACAAAACACAGAGUGGACAUGGCAGGGUAUAUAAUCUAACAAAACACAGAGUGGACAUGGCAGGUAAUAAUCCCCACAAUAUCUAACAAAACACAGAGUGGACAUGGCAGGGUAUAUAAUCCCCACAAUAUCUAACAAAAACACAGAGUGGACAUGGCAGGGUAUAUAAUCCCAACACAAAGAUGACAUGGCAGGGUAUAUAAUCCCCACAAAUCUAACACAGAGUGGACAUGGCAGGGUAUAUAAUCCCACAAAACACAGAGUGGACUGCCAGGUAUAUAAUCCCCACAAAAACACAGAGUGGACAUGGCAAGGUAUAUAAUCCCCACAAAAAACACAGAGUGGACAUGGCAGGGUAUAUAAAUCCCACAAAAACACAGAGUGGACAUGGCCCCAACAAUAAACACAGAGUGGACAUGGCAGGGUAUAUAAUCCCCACAAUAUCAAACAAAAACACAGAGUGGACAUAGCAGGGUAUAUAAUCCCCACAAAAACACAGAGUGGACAUGGCAGGGUAUAUAAUCCCCACAAUACACAUUGGCAAUAUAAUCCCACAAUAACACAGAGUGGACAUGGCAGGGUAUAUAAUCCCCACAAUAACACAGAGUGGACAUGGCAGGGUAUAUAAUCCCCACAAUAAAACACAGAGUGGACAUGGCAGGGUAUAUAAUCCCACAAAACACAGAGUGGACAUGGCAGGGUAUAUAAUCCCCACAGUAACACAGAGUGGACAUGGCAGGGUAUAUAAUCCCAGCAAUAAAAAAGAUACGGAUUACAGAUCUGAGAGUACGUGCUUGCUUGUUUCAGGUCCGUGGUUGUCGUUUGUUGCUGCAUAUCACAUUUCGCUCGUUGUUCUGUACUUACAGACUGGUGGUUUUCUUGUUUGAAUUAUUUUAUAUGUGUCAAGUCGGGCUUAUUUUAAAAGGCCGAAUUGCUAAGUCAGUAUUUCGUCAUUUGGUUUAUAAUGAUGGACAUUUGUAUAUGAACUUUUCCUGAUGGCCAUCAGGGGCGGAUCCAGCCAUUUUAAAAAGGGGGGUUCCUAACCCAGGACAAAGGGGGGGAGGGGGGGGGGUUCCAAUUACAUGUCCCCAUUCAAAUGCAUUGAUCGUCCAAAAAAAAGGGGGGGUUCCAACCCCGGAACCCCCACCAUCUGGAUCCGUGCCUGGCCAUAAUUGUAUAUUUAUGGACUUUCGAUUGCUCCAUUGCACCAAAGCGUAUUUUUCUGCUUGUUUUAAAAGACGUCUGAAAAAAAUAUUUCACUUUGUGAUAAAAAUCAUUGAUUUCAAGUUUCGAUAGCUGUCUUGAAAUCCUUUAAGGAUAUUGAAUACUUAGUUUUUGUAUUCAAAAUGUUUUUAAAAUGGAUUUAGAAAAAAAUGUUCGUCAUUCUCAACAAAAAAUUGGACCCCCUUAUAGGAUGACAUUACAAUCUCAGUUAUUAAAAGGGGACGAAUUUACAGUUGACCUAACUUGACAAUAAUUUGUUGAGAUGACAAUACUUGACGAGGGAAUCUAUGAAGUGAGAAGCAUUAUACACAUUUAUAUCAGUAUUUUAGGUCCUAAAACGUCGGGUAUUGCGGAUAAAAUGAUGUUAUGUAAUUUGCACUAUGGAUGUUUAAAUCAUAUUGGCUUGACUGAAGAAGCACUGACGAUGCUUUGAGUUAAAACAUUUUUAUUUCAGAUCUUUCUUAUUCGUCAAUAUCUUUUAAUUUUUGUUUAGAUGAGAGGGUAUACAGUCUUUUGUAAAUUUAUGACAAUUUCUGCAGUUGUGUAUCUGCAAGGAGCGGAAUUGAUUGACGAUCCAAAAGGAGCGGGUAUGUUUAAAUUUAAGUAGUUUUCUUUCCAUUCAUUCAUGUAUACACAUAAUGGUCAAGUGAACACAAAAGAAACUCUCACAUCACUGCAAGUUCAAGACGGCCCACAGCGGCGGUUUGGGCAGAGUUCUUUAGUGAAGGAAAUAUAAAGGAAAUAAAACGACUGAUAUGUGUUAUUCUGGAUUAUUACAUUUUCAACCUUAGAUCCAUCAAAGCUUUAUUUAUAGUCGGUAUGUUACAUAACAAAUAAACAUAAGCUCUCUGAGCUUUUAUAACCGACAAAUGCAUACAUUUACAUACAAUCAUACACAAUACAAAUAUUAAAACAUAAAAGACAUAGAACAUUAUUUCAUGCACAUUUAGGCUGCAAUAUUUAAAUACUAUAUAUUAUACAUAUGUAUAAGCAUAACUAAAAGCAAACAUAAAAACUAAAGCACAGCAUUCACAAAUUAUAAAAAGCUAAGCAAACAUUCACAAAAAACAGCACUAUUAUAUUUCAAGCUGUAACAUAAAAUAAAUAAAACUAAGCACAUGCAUUGCAAUGGCAUGAGUUGCCAUUCCAUGAGUUUAUUAGACUCUUGAAGUGGGUAAAAGAUGUUUCAGUUCUAAAGUGGUUUGGCAGCAGAAUAUCUGAAAGAAUAUCCAUAAGAAGUAUUAUUAGAAAGGACAUGAAAUAUCCAUCCAUGAAAACACUAUAUACGCACAGCAAAAAAUCAGCCUUCUUGUUUGUUUUAUUUCUAUUUUGUUUAUUCCAUGCAUAGCCUUGUCCUGUAUAAUAAUUUCUUUUAAAAACAAAGAACUCUAAGUGUUCAUUUCCUUUGAACAUCGAUACCCUAGUAUGAUAAUUUCCUUACGCAAAUUAUUGAUGUCGUUGAGUUACUAGUAUCGUUGAAUUGCUGUCUUCUAGAUGCCGUUCGGUUACUUUUGUCGUCGGAUUGCUGUCCGUUUAAUGUCGUUCGGUAACUAGUGUCGUCGAACUGCUGUCCACUAGAUGUCGUUCGGUUACUAGUGUCGUCAGAUUGCUGUCCGCUAGAUGUCGUUUGGUUCCUAGUGUCGAAUUGCUGUCCGCUAGAUGUCGUUCGCUUUCUAGUGUUUUAUGAUUGCUGUCCGUUCAAUGUCGUUCGGUUACUAGUGUCGUCGGAUUGCUGUCCACUAGAUGUCGUUCGGUUACUAGUGUCGUCGGAUUACUGUCCGUUCAAUGUCGUUCGGUUACUAAUGUCGUCGGAUUGCUGUCCGUUAUAUGUAGUUCGUUUACUAGUGUUUUCGGAUUACUGUCCGUUCAAUGUCGUUCGGUUACUGGUGUCGUUAGAUUGGUGUCCGCUAGAUGUCGUUCGGUUACUAGUGUCGUCGGAUUGUUGUCCGUUCAAUGUCGUUCGGUUACUAGUGUCGUCGGAUUGCUAUCCGUUCAAUGUCGUUCGGUUACUAGUGUCGUCGGAUUGCUGUCCACUAGAUGUCGUUCGGUUACCAGUGUCGUCGGAUUACUGUCCGUUCAAUGUCGUUCGGUUACUAGUGUCGUCGGAUUGCUGUCCGUUAUAUGUAGUUCGUUUACUAGUGUCGUCGGAUUGCUGUCCGUUAUAUGUAGUUCGUUUACUAGUGUUUUCGGAUUGCUGUCCGUUCAAUGUCGUUCGGUUACUAGUGUCGUCGGAUUGCUGUCCACUAGAUGUCGUUCGGUUACUGGUGUCGUCGGAUUGCUGUCCGUUCAAUGUCGUUUGGUUACUAGUGUCUUCGGAUUGUUGUACGUUCUAUGUCGUUCAGUUACUAGUGUUGUCGGAUUGCUGUCCACUAGAUGUCGUUCGGUCACUAGUGUCGUCGGAUUGCUGUCCAUUCAAUGUCGUUCGGUUAAUAGUUUCGUCGGAUUGCUGUUCGUUCUAUGACGUUCGGUUACUAGUAUUUUCGGAUUACUGUUUUAUUGAAAUAUUUCCUAUUUCUCUCUAAAUUUUCUCUUCCUAAUUCUCUACAUUUUAAUCCUACAUUAAUGAGAAUUUUCUCUUCCUAAUUCUCUACAUUUUAAUCCUACAUUAAUGAGAAUUUUCUCAUGAACUGUUUAAAACUAUGAUUUUUUGCAUUAUAGGACAAGCUGCUUUGCCUAUGUUGGUUAACUUGUUUGAUACGAAUGUGCAAAUUACAUGUUCAAGGCAGAAGGAUCAGGUA